rnacentral:rRNA from 1 species
AACGCGAAGAACCUUACCUGGGCUUGAACUACUGGUAGUAAGUCUUUGGAAACAUGGACUGAUCCGCAAGGAAGCCAGCAGAGGUGCUGCAUGGUUGUCGUCAGCUCGUGUCGUGAGAUGUUGGGUUAAGUCCCGCAACGAGCGCAACCCCUACUCGAUGUUGCCACUCCCGCAAGGGAAGCACUCUUCGAGAACUGCCUUCGAUAAGAAGGAGGAAGGUGGGGACGACGUCAAAUCCUCAUGGCCCUUAUGUCCAGGGCUACACACGUGCUACAAUGGCCGGUACAACGGGAAGCAAUACCGCAAGGUGGAGCCAAACCCUUAAAGCCGGCCCCAGUUCAGAUCGUGGGCUGAAACUCGCCCACGUGAAGGCGGAAUCGCUAGUAAUCGCGAAUCAGCAGGUCGCGGUGAAUACGUUCCCGGGCCUUGUACACACCGAUACUC